rnacentral:rRNA from 1 species
UACGUAGGUGGCAAGCGUUGUCCGGAUUUACUGGGCGUAAAGCGCGUGUAGGCGGCUUUGCAAGUCGGAUGUGAAAGCCCACGGCUCAACCGUGGAAGUGCAUCCGAAACUGCAUGGCUCGAGUCUCGGAGAGGAAGGUGGAAUGCUUGGUGUAGAGGUGAAAUUCGUAGAUAUCAAGCAGAACACCUGCGGCGAAGGCGGCCUUCUGGACGAUGACUGCGUGAGACGCGAAAGCGUGGGGAG